CCUUCCUGAUAUUCUUCAUCUAGAAUUCUCUAUUUCUCUAUAGCUCAGUUCUCCAACUAGCUUUCUUUCACUUUUUUAGUUUGUCCAGUGGUCUAUCAUUUGAGCUUCUAUCUUUUUCUUAUUUUUGUUAUACCAAUGCGGUAUCCCGGUGGUUAAUCUCUUCUUACCCAUAGUUGAAGACAGAGAUGAGUAAACGAGAUUGUGCUCUUGAUAUAGGCGGUUUAAUGAAUUGAGAUGAAAUCAGAUUUCGAAUGCAACUGUAUUUCACAAUUUGGGAUAAAGUUGUGUGCUACUGUAAUAUCUGUGCCGAUCAAAGAAAACGCUCACAUGAUUCUUGCCGGAUAGAGCACUCUUGGAGCUUUCAAACUUCUGAAUUGGAAUAUUGAGGUGUGCAAUGAUGGAAAUGCGUGCCUGGUCUAUAUGAACUAAAAAUCCCAGGUUGUGCUUGAUACUUCACUUCAAAGAUUGGUAGCUCAACUGAGUUGUUUUUAAGAAAAAACUUUGAGAUGCUUGAGUGAAGAAAAUUUAAUCAGAUGAAGUUUAGGGUGACAUAAGAGACGCAAUGUGACGUUUUUCAUUAGUUAAACGAUUUUGGUUGCAAACACUUGUUCCUUUUACGGAAAGUGAAUGCUAUAGCUUUUCACAUUUUUGUCUCUGCACAAAUAGAACGAUCUUUUGUAUUUCUACGGCACAAGAUGAUGUGAUAUAUUUAUCUUAACUUAGAAAUUAUUAUUAUUAUUAUUAUUA